rnacentral:lncRNA from 1 species
GCCAAGCCAAACUCAGCCUCCUCGCCGGGCUCCGACCAUAACUCAUUCCCAAAUCCAGCCAGCCCAGUCCUGAACCUAAAUGUUUACAUUUUUGAUUUGCUAAGAUAACAUUCCUGGGUCACCGAAACGCUUUGUCAGGGAAGGGCUGUGGGAGACAGCGGGAAUUAGUGAUGCGUGGCUCCGGUGGGAUGUGUGAGGGAUGCUGGUGCUUCCCAGGAUCACAGAUCCCAGAUUCAUCCAGGUGGGCUGUUCCUCGGGAUCCUCCAGGAGGAGCAGGAGCAGGAGCCGGCAGGGAAGGAGAAGCUCAUGUAUGAGAAGCUCCCUCAUUCCAGGAGAACCCUCUCAUCUCCAGCUCCUCUCCACCCUGAGGAAUCACCCCUUACCCUGGUGCAUUCCGAGCAGUGAAGCUCCCGAUGGUUCAGCCCCUGGGAGAGGAAGAUCAGCUCUGCAGCCCUUCACCAAGCCCGGCCUGAGGAAUUUCUGGGCUCUGCUGCUUCAUCCCAGCCCUUCUCCAGCCUCUCCAAAUCCACCCUCAUCCCUGCCAGCAGGCACAGCCUCUCCUGCUCAGCAGAGAGCUGGAAGUGCACAGUGGAAGUUGAGCAUCCUCAGGAACACUUCCAGACCCGUGGAAACACAUCCCUGA